CCAGCAGCCGCGGUAAUUCCAGCUCCAAUAGCGUAUACUAAAGUUGUUGCGGUUAAAAAGCUCGUAGUUGGAUCUUGGAAUGUGUUCAAGCGGGUCAGCUUCUGGCUGUGCGCUGCUUGACGUGUUCUUCUAUUUGGUUUUGGUGCGGUGCGCUUAACUGCGUGUCGCUCCCGGCCGAAACGUUUACCUUGAAAAAAUUAGAGUGUUCAAAGCAGACCUGUUUGAGUCUGAAUAUUCGUGCAUGGAAUAAUGAAAUAUGAAUUCGGUUCUAUUUUGUUGGUUUUCGGAACUCGAGUUAAUGAUCAAGAGGGACAGACGGGGGCAUUCGUACUCUGCCGUUAGAGGUGAAAUUCUUGGAUCGGCGGAAGACGCGCAACUGCGAAAGCAUUUGCCAAGAAUGUUUUCUUUAAUCAAGAACGAUAGUCGGAGGUUCGAAGACGAUCAGAUACCGUCCUAGUUUCGACUGUAAACUAUGCCAGCUAACGAUCAGACAGAGUUCUCUACGACUUGUCUGGCAGUUUCCGGGAAACCAAAGCGUUUGGGUUCCGGGGGAAGUAUGGUUGCAAAGCUGAAACUUAAAGGAAUUGACGGAAGGGCACCACCAGGAGUGGAGCCUGCGGCUUAAUUUGACUCAACACGGGGAAACUCACCCGGCCCGGACACAGUGAGGAUUGACAGAUUGAGAGUUCUUUCUUGAUUCUGUGGGUGGUGGUGCAUGGCCGUUCUUAGUUGGUGGAGCGAUUUGUCUGGUUAAUUCCGAUAACGAACGAGACUCUGGCAUGUUAAAUAGUCGCGGAAGUGCGUAUGCACUUGCCGAAUUGACUUCUUAGAGGGACUAGUGAUUUUAAUUCACACGAGAUUGAGCAAUAACAGGUCUGUGAU
rnacentral:rRNA from 1 species